rnacentral:rRNA from 1 species
GAGAGUUAAAUAGCACGUGAAAUUGUUGAAAGGGAAACGAUUGAAGCCAGUCGUACCGGCGGAUAAUCAGCCUUUCGGGUGCGAUUCUGUGGGGCGUGAGGAGCUUAACCGCCUUCAUGUUUUGCAUAUUCGUGCACAUUUGGUGUACUUGUCCGUGUGGUGGGUUAACAUCAAUUUCGGUCGUCAUAAAAUGAUUGGAGGAAUGUAGCUUUGGUCUCGUAUCGAAGUGUUAUAGACUCUGGUAGAUGUGACGAUUGGGAUUGAGGAUUGCAACGGAUACCCUUCGGGGCUACUCGUCUGAUCUCUGAUCGUUGCUUUGGUGCCGAAAGCUUGCUUACGGUUAUCAAAGUCGAUGGUCAAUAGGUUAGAACGGGUUAAAUUCGUUAAGGAUGUUGACGUAAUGGCUUUAAACGA